CCGGUAUAGUCCCAGUGCGUUCGAAGAACUUUAUCUCCUUGUUAUUUUAAACAUAUUAAACAUAUAUAAGCCGAUCCAUUUGCAAACGUAACAAACAUUACAAAACGUCCAUAGCGGAUAAACGAUAACUAGUAAAAUAAACAAUAAUUAAAAAUGAAAUUCGCGUCGCUAUUUGUUAUCAUUAUGGCAGUAUUAUCACUCUUUAUAGGAUCAAGCGAAGCAAGGCCAAAGAAGAUACCUAUAGAUGCAAUAAAAAGAGGAGCCGCUCGUGUAUGGAGAACAAUAGACAACGCAAUGACAGCAUACGACAUCGCAACAUUAUUUGAUAAGAAUUAAUAGUCGCUUAGUUACCUCAAGUUAUUUUAAGUAUUUAUUUAAAUGUAUUAAUUACUAAUAAUGUAAGCCACCUUGUGUUCAAUAUAUUUAUUUAAUUUUAAUCAAUAUUUAAAUAGUUUUUAAUAUCCCA